rnacentral:rRNA from 1 species
ACGAACGCUGGCGGCGUGCCUAAUACAUGCAAGUCGAGCGGAAUGAUGAAGAAGCUUGCUUCUUCUGAUUUUAGCGGCGGACGGGUGAGUAACACGUGGGCAACCUACCUUGUAGAUUGGGAUAACUCCGGGAAACCGGGGCUAAUACCGAAUAAUCCAUUUUGCUUCAUGGCGAGAUGUUGAGAGACGGUUUCGGCUGUCACUACAAGAUGGGCCCGCGGCGCAUUAGCUAGUUGGUAGGGGUAAUGGCCUACCAAGGCGACGAUGCGUAGCCGACCUGAGAGGGUGAUCGGCCACACUGGGACUGAGACACGGCCCAGACUCCUACGGGAGGCAGCAGUAGGGAAUCUUCCACAAUGGACGAAAGUCUGAUGGAGCAACGCCGCGUGAGUGAAGAAGGUUUUCGGAUCGUAAAACUCUGUUGUAAGGGAAGAACACGUACGAGAGUAACUGCUCGUACCUUGACGGUACCUUAUUAGAAAGCCACGGCUAACUACGUG